rnacentral:rRNA from 1 species
CGUCAAGUCAUCAUGCCCCUUAUGUCCUGGGCCACACACGUGCUACAAUGGCCGGUACAAAGGGAAGCGAAGUCGCGAGGCGGAGCGGAUCCCAUAAAGCCGGUCUCAGUUCGGAUUGCAGGCUGCAACUCGCCUGCAUGAAGGCGGAAUCGCUAGUAAUCGCGGAUCAGCAUGCCGCGGUGAAUACGUUCCCGGGCCUU